GGGACGCAGCAGGCGCGAAAACUUUGCAAUAAGCGAAAGCUUGACAGGGCUAUCCCGAGUGCCAUCCGCUGAGGAAGGCUUUUACCCAGUCUAGUAAGCUGGGGGAAUAAGGAGAGGGCAAGUCUGGUGUCAGCCGCCGCGGUGAUACCAGCUCUCCGAGUGGUGUGGAUGUUUAUUGGGCCUAAAGCAUCCGUAGCUGGCUGAGUUAGUCCCCUGUUAGAUCCACCGAAUCAACCGUUGGGUUGCGGGGGAUACUGCUCGGCUAGGGGACGGGAGAGGCAGACGGUAUUUUCGGGGUAGGGGUGAAAUCCUAUAAUCCCGGGAAGACCACCAGUGGCGAAGGCUGUCUGCUAGAACGCGCCCGACGGUGAGGGAUGAAAGCUGGGGUAGCGAACCGGAUUAGAUACCCGGGUAGUCCCAGCUGUAAACGAUGCAGGCUAGGUGUUUGGGCGGCCACGUGCCGCUCUAGUGCCGCAGGGAAGCUGUUAAGCCUGCCGCCUGGGGAGUACGAUCGCAAGAUUGAAACUUAAAGGAAUUGGCGGGGGAGCAC
rnacentral:rRNA from 1 species